rnacentral:rRNA from 1 species
AUCUAUGACCAUACCACUGUGAACACGCCUAUCUCAUGUGAUCUCGGAAGUUAAGCAGGGUCAGGCCUGUUAGUACUUGGAUGGGAGAAAUAGAUUCAAAACCUGUGCCUUCACAGAGC